GUUCGAGAUACCAGCAUAACAGCAAUAAGUAUCAAGUAUCCUGUCUAAAAUAAAGCAAAUGUAGUUGAUACAGACAGCUACUAAGAUGAGUACUGCAUUUAAAGAACAGACUUUCACUGCCCUUCAUAUUCAAACACACUUCCAAGAAAAUAAGAUGCUAGCAACUAAAUAAGGAAGUGAGAAGUUCUGGAACCACAUAAGCAUCUGGGAGAAAAACCCACAAGCAGAAGAAAUAGCAUGUCUAAAAUAACAAGGUAUUUUGUCACAGCAACAGAAAGCUAACGCAAAUAUUGAUACAACCCGGAUAAACCUUGGAAAGAUCAAGCUGACCAUGUAUUAUAUGAUUCUAUUUAUGUAAAAUAUCAAGAACAGGCAACCAACAGAGAGAGUGGUGGCUCCCAAAGGUUGGAGGAAGAGGUGAUGAGAACUGAUUGCUAUUGGGUAACAGACUUUACUGUUGAUAAAAUCUUUGAAAAUUAA